AUUGAACGCUGGCGGCAGGCCUAACACAUGCAAGUCGAGCGAGCGGCGGACGGGGGAGAAAUGUCUGUGAAACUGUCUGAUGGAGGGGGAUAACUACUGGAAACGGUAGCUAAUACCGCACACCCUCACAGGUGCCCAGAUGGGAUUAGCUCGUAGGUGGGGUAACGGCUCACCCAGGCGCCGAUCCCUAGCUGGUCUGAGAGGAUGACCAGCCACACUGGAACUGAGACACGGUCCAGACUCCUACGGGAGGCAGCAGUGGGGAAUAUUGCACAAUGGGCGCAAGCCUGAUGCAGCCAUGCCGCGUGUGUGAAGAAGGCCUUCGGGUUGUAAAGCACUUUCAGCGGGGAGGCGUUACCCGCAGAAGAAGCACCGGCUAACUCCGUGCCAGCAGCCGCGGUAAUAC
rnacentral:rRNA from 1 species